rnacentral:rRNA from 1 species
AUUAUGGGACAAUGGUGGCAACCCUGAUCCAGCCAUGCCGCGAGUGUGAAGAAGGUCUACGGUAUAAAAAUCACUUGAAGUGGAAAGGAAGGGCCUUAGGCUAAUACCCGGAAGUUUUGACUUUACCAACAUAAUAUGUCCCGGCUAACUCUGUGCCAGCAGCCGCGGUAAUACAGAGGGUGCAAGCGUUAAACGGAAUUACUGGGCGUAAAGCGCGCGUAGGUGGUUCAGUAAGAUGGGUGUGAAAUCCCCGGGCUUAACCUGGGAACUGCUUUCAUAACUGCUGAGCUAGAGUACGGUAGAGGGUAGUGGAAUUUCCUGUGUAGCGGUGAAAUGCGUAGAUAUAGGAAGGAACACCAGUGGCGAAGGCGACUACCUGGACUGAUACUGACACUGAGGUGCGAAAGCGUGGGGAGCAAAC